rnacentral:lncRNA from 1 species
GGAUGGAGGGAGUACAUGUAAUGAAUCCUAAGCUAAUCAACACUACUAUCCCUACUGAUUUUUGUAGUAGUAUCGAGUAGAGAUUAUUAUACCCUUGUAGCGUAAAUGCGAGUGCAUAAGGACAUGCAUGAGAUGACCUUCUGGGACUGGGGCAACGUAAUGAAUCAUGUUUAUUGGACUAUGAUUUUGUGUAUUUGUAGGUUUCAGCAUUUUCUUAAUCUUGAUUCAACCAUAUGUGAAAUCAAAGUCCAUAUUUCUAAUAAAUUAUUCUAACAUUUAUGCGAAAUGUUGAAAAAUAUAUCUAAAAUUGAACAUGUAUAUUUAAAAAUAUAAUGUUGAAGUAGUACAUUCUAAAUGUUGAUUAAAAAAAGUAAGAUAAAACAUGUAAAAUAUACACAUAUUAGAUCUCAAUUAAUUGCAAUUAUAUAAACAACAUGUUGGUUCAAACAGAAUUAAGAUUAGACUCACGAUUUGAGAGAGAAUGUAUUUUAAAUCUUAAAUUCAAACCAAUUAAUCACUUAUUCAUCCCCUCUACAAAUUAUGCCACAUGUCCUGCACAUGGUUGGUUGGCUUGUUCUCACUUGCUAUCCAUCUCCUAGAGCACUAAGCUUGGAGUACGAAAGAUACAUUGGCUUGAAUGAUUAUGUCUUGGUGCAGGCCAUCUUGUGCAGGCCUACAAAUUGGGCCCAAAUCCAUCUCCGUCAGUACGUUGGCUUGUUCCCUCACUUGCUAUCUUCCAGGCCUGACGGAGUUGGGCCGGCCUAGUUUGUACUGCAAGCAACAUGCCGUCGCGUGGCCUGCACCCGAAAAUGUUUC